CCUAGGGUGGCAGCAGUGGGGAAUAUUGGACAAUGGGCGAAAGCCUGAUCCAGCCAUGCCGCGUGUGUGAAGAAGGCCUUCGGGUUGUAAAGCACUUUCAGUGGGGAAGAAAGCCUUGGGGCUAAUACCCUCGAGGAAGGACAUCACCCACAGAAGAAGCACCGGCUAACUCCGUGCCAGCAGCCGCGGUAAUACGGAGGGUGCGAGCGUUAAUCGGAAUUACUGGGCGUAAAGCGCGCGUAGGCGGUCUGAUAAGCCGGUUGUGAAAGCCCCGGGCUCAACCUGGGAACGGCAUCCGGAACUGUCAGGCUAGAGUGCAGGAGAGGAAGGUAGAAUUCCCGGUGUAGCGGUGAAAUGCGUAGAGAUCGGGAGGAAUACCAGUGGCGAAGGCGGCCUUCUGGACUGACACUGACGCUGAGGUGCGAAAGCGUGGGUAGCAAACAGGAUUAGAUACCCCAGUAGU
rnacentral:rRNA from 1 species